UGAUCCAGAGAACAAUGACGUAAUGAAUCCAGCUGGCGACAGGAAACGACAAUUCCCAUGAUGCAUUGCGCUAGCGUGGCCGCCGGACGGGGGAAGGGAAGCUGAGAUUGGAGGAAGAAACAAUCAGAAACUGAGAUUUUGAAUGCAUAUGAAAAAAAAGAUUGUUGCCAAAAAGAAGACCACCCAUGAUCCGCAUCUGGACACCUGCCCUUCAUAUUGUUUCACUUGUGGCUAAAGAUAACACAGCCAAUUAAAGUGUGCUGCUAUCUUGGAGUGCUCAUUGGAUUUGUGUUGAGAGCCAACGUAAUGAAGUGUCUGCUAUGAGGAGAGCUCAAGCCUGACAAGCGAUGUCAUUAUCCAGCUUCUGGGCACCUCUGAUGGCGAUGAGGAGCAAAGCAACUGGCCAAGCAGAUCUGUGGAGGGGAGGAAGGAGGGAGGGCUCCGGGAAAUGUGCCAUUUCCUCUGGGCGCUAGACUGAUAUCUGCACAUUCCUCUCCGUGUGCACACUCAAGGUUAGGAGAAUAUAGGAGGAGGCUGCCACUAAAACCAACAGUCAUUGCUGUUCCAAGGGGAAACCAGAGAUGUGCACUACCUGGAUGUCUGUUACCAGCUUGGUGAAGUCUAACUUGUGACCGUGGACAUUUUCAUCUAUAUGAAGCAUAAAUACUCUCAGUCACUACACACGUGCGCCCAAGAAACCAUGGUAGUCCUUGUAGCAGCUUGUCAGCCCAUCUCAGUCCAGGAUUUCAGAAGCCUUUAGAGGCCACAAUCGGGAAGACCCUUGCCAGCCAACACACUCAUAUGCAAUGGAAGAAGACAUUGAUGUCACUUUACACCUUGAGGGCCAAAAUGGUUUGUCUCCUGAAUGUAAAUCAUCAGAGGAGACCACCAACGGACACUCCAACCAAAAGCCUGUUAUGAAUGGAUUGAUUAUCAGUCAUAAUGUCAAAGACCACACCACCAAUGGUUGUGCCCCGCUCACGUCCCUGCCGAUUUCCACGCUGAAGCAGAAUGGUCUCCUGCAGACUCUGGCAGCAGCAGGAGGGGACCAGACUAAACCUGCAGAAGAAAAUGUGGAGUUGGAAAAGGCCAGACGGGAAUGGGAAGCUUUGGAGAGCAUCCAACCAGCUCUGACGGAAGACUCAAACCCAUCACCGCUCAUCUCUUUCAAUGAAGCCCUUCAGUACUUUCAGACUACAGAUCUCGGGGACUUGCUUAAGAACAUCCAGCCGACGAUUCGCAGGACAGGUCUGGCUGCGGUCACACACUUCCUUUUUGGGCCCCCCCGACUGCACAGGGAACUCACGGAGGAGCGGGAUCUCGUCUUUGCCAUCGCGCAAUGCCACGUGGACAACAGCCAGCCGGUCCACAUGCGUGUUCUCCAGACCAUUUAUAAAAGGCUGAUUGGCUGCAGGCUGGACUGUCCUCGUUAUGGGACACACUGGGAAAACAUUGGCUUUCAGGGUGCGGACCCAGCCACGGACCUGCGUGGCACUGGUUUCCUGGGACUCAUGCACACUUUGUACUUUGUGAUGGACCCAGAGACUCUGCCGUUGGCUCGAGACAUCUACAAGUUAUCCCAACACCCUACACAGAACUUUCCUUUCAGUGUGAUGUCAAUCAACAUGACCCGCAUCGCUCUCCAGGUGCUCAGAGAGGAGGCUUUGUCCAAGGAGUGCAAUCGUCGGCAGCAAGUGGUCGGCGUGUUGAAUGAGUUUUACGUGGCCACAUACCUGCACCUAUACCAAGUGUGGAAGACCCAACAGAAAACCAUCGCUGACUCUGGCUUUGUGAUUAAAGAAGUGGAGCUGUUCGCUAAAAAGAACCCAAAGCAGAUGCUUCGCCGACUAGAGGUCUUCCUGAAAGAGAGACGGGCAGGCGGAGUCCCCCGCGGGACGUCGCCAGAGCCGCCGGCUCAGCAGCCUUCGCCCAGCCAGGAAGAACGAGCGGCCAGAGCGGGGAGCAAGGCGAAGGAGCUGCACUUCACGGGGGUGUGCGAGCUACCAUCUGACACAGAGGGUGACGCCAGACUCAUCUAAGCGUGCAUGUGUGCGUGUCUGAUGAAGAACACACUAUAGCCUGCUAUCUGAAUCUAUCCAAUAUGUCCCCCCCCCCCCCCCCCCCCCCCCCCCAUCCUCUGAUGUUGGGGUGCUGCACUUUGCUAAGAUUUUUUUUUUGUGUGGUUGGUCAGAGCUAUAUUGUUUGAAUUAUUUAUUUGAACACAGAACAGUCAAACAAAUGGAGCUCUUACAGGAUGUCACAAAACAAGAAAGUGAACGUUUGCACUUUUCUUCAAAUUUAGUAGUGAAAUCAAAUUUAAAAAAAUAUAUAUAUAUAUACAUAUAUAUUGUGGUCACAACUCCACCCGUGUCGAGUUUGUCCCUCUCGGCCUGCUUAUGUUGGCAUCAGAGGUGGCACGAGGCUCACUCUUGUUCGACUACCCAACUGUAAUGCAGCGGAUCAGACCGUUUAUCAAUGCGGGGGUCAUAACCAGCAGCACCACACCCUGAUCAGGUCACAUGCAGUAAGUAACCUUUGGGCAGGGAGCAGGCUUCAUGGUAGCUUGCCUGCAGCUUUUGACCGCUUUACAUCCUCUUGUCAGUAGGUUGAAGAUCAAACUCAAAAAUGUAGAAUGGGAGUCCGACUGCAGUGACACUCCUGGUGUUAGACAAAGGUCCAUUCGUUUGGAACUGCCGACGGAUGGGGUGCUUUCCUCUGCACACAAUAAGCCAGCUUUACUACGUACUUGAUCCAUCCAGCUGCAAACAUGGUACUUUUGUCAUUUGAAGAUGGUACUACGAAGGAACGAGAACAAAAGACAAAUUAGAAAAAGUAGAAACAAAAAACGUGGCUGGCCAAGAAUGGGUUAAGGCUCCUGGGCAAAGCUGGUUCGUGCUUUCUGCUUGUGCGAAACUGUCUCCCGUUUUUGUAGUCUCAAUCUGUAGCAUGUUCAGGUAGCACUAGUACUGUAGCAUCCUAUAGCCUCCUCCUCCUCCUUCGUGAAGCUCGUUGAUGUCACGUUGACGUUGGUCUCUAGUGUCGAUGCGUGCGUGGACCUUUACUACCAUAGCACAUUGUUUCGUUUUCCCUCGGUAGACACUCGUUAGGCAGCGAAGCUUGUGGAGAUGGGCUUGACAUGUAAAUGAGCUCAACUUUGUCUUCUGAGAAGGUAACAGCAAAAACGGUGCCUUCGUCACAGAAUCACGGAAGGUCAUGUGCUCUCCCUGUCUUUUCUGCUUUUAGCCUCAGUGCCAAGUAGACCUGCGUUCUUGCGAGGUAGUAGACGGCCAGCCGACCUCGGGCGGGUCUGAUCUGCUGACCUUGUCGCGUUAUUGCUCCCCAAGCCGUCGCCGUUCGUCCUCGCCGCACAAAUGAGACGACACAAUUUGGCCAGUUGUUUGCAGGCGCCGUGCGACUGACUGGCGAGCAACUUUACAUCGUUGUAGAUCCGACUGUGUGUGUGACGUAUGCAAAAGAGCCACCUUCGGGAGCCAUAAUGUUCAUUUGCGGCCACCUCAUCAAGUCGUGUCCCCUUGCCGCUCCCCCCCCCCACCUCGCGCCAAACAUUGCACCACACUGAUCCCGCGCUUGGUUUUCUUCUUUUUGAAGCUGAGGAGCAGUACAGUGUAUGUAAAUCAGGAAGUUUGUACAUAGAGAAUUAAUGAUUGUAAGAUGUAUGAUUGUCUGUAGGGCAUUAUACUAAAACACAUUGCUUACCUCAAGACUUAAGACAAAUCUCUCCUUUCUCUCUUUCCUGAUAAUUGUUUGGUCUCUCAGUACAUCUUUCUAUGUUUGCUUGUACUUUGACCUUCUCUUUCACCAACUGGACUCGUUAUGUAAUGUGCAGAAUAUUAAACCGCUCAAGCACGACAUACUAAUGGCCACCUAUAACCGAAGCGGGUCCAUCUUAUGUGCGUACUAUUUAAAGAGACGUGUCGUCACUACAUUGGCCCAUUCACCUCGGCAAAUUAAAAGCACUUUCUACUACUAAGCUUUGAAUUGGUUUCUAUCGGCCAUGUUGGAACGCGCUGGUUUUCUUGUGGCAUUCGGUGACCGUGGAUUAUUAUUGUCCUCGCAAUAUAUUUUUGCUUUAGAAUUCUCCUCAGUUGCAUGACUUUUACCAAGAGAGAAAAGAGAAACAAACGGGUUUUGUCAGGAUGUCAGAUGAAGUCUGAAGUUCUGCUCGCUAUCCUGCGGCGGCUCGGCGAACGCAAUCGCAUCUCUCGACGCCACGCCACGCCACGCUGUCUACUCUUUGAAGGUUUUUUUUUUGUUUUGUUUUUGUUUUUUGUUUUUUGCUUUCGCUGUCUUUGUCAUGUCCCUCAGAGCAUUUUAUGACUGUACCUUGAUUGUAGACGCCCUAUUUUAUACUGAGAGUUAUUUCAGAAUACAGUUUGUGUGGUUGUACAUUAAAUGUAUUGUCUGGAGAAAGCUAAAUAAAUGCUGUUUAAAACGAA